GACGGGGGAUGCAAGAGUUAUCCGGAAUCACUGGGCGUAAAGCGUCUGUAGGUGGUGAUGCAAGUCACUGGUGCAAAACUCUGGCUCAACCGGAGGAAAGCCAGUGAAACUGCAUGACUAGAGUGUGGGAGAGGUAGAAGGAAUUCCCUGAGUAGCGGUGAAAUGCGUAGAUACAGGGAAGAACACCGGAGGCGAAAGCGUUCUACUGGAACACAACUGACACGGAGAGACGAAAGCUAGGGGAGCUAAUGGG
rnacentral:rRNA from 1 species